AAGUUACAGGAAAUAGGUUGUUCAUUUUCAAGUUGGUCGGGACUAGAACGAUCUACAGCAUCAUGUGCAAACUUAUUUUUUUUAUCUUGUUGUUAAUCCAAGUUCCUGCAUCUGCUAGGGUGUGGGUGAACCAGUGGUCCUCGAAAAAUGCUUACAUAGUAGGUGAAACAGCAACUCUCUAUUGCAACAUUACCUCAGAUCAAGAGGAAAUAACAUUUUGUGGAAUGAAAUGGGUCAUCAAAGAUCAAGGUGAUCUGCUAGAAGCAGAAUCCUUUAAGCAUCGUGUCAACAUGAGCUCCACCAACACUUUUGCUUCCAUAACAUUGAGAAACCUGACCUUAAAAGACACCAUGCCAACCUGCAUCACACAGUGCCACAUUGACGGUGACUUUCAAAAUACUUUCGGGAAGGGUGGCACACUUCACAUUUUUGAUGACAUCAGCCAGAUGACAACACUGGCCCCAAAGUUGACAACACUGGUCCCAAAGAAAAUCAAAAAAGACAAUUCUCUCCAUUGGCUCAAUUACAUUUUUCUGAGCAUAAACAUCUUGAUUUUCUUUGUGGUCACAGUUAUUUGUGUGUCAUACUUCCGAACCCAAAUGAAGAAUUAAGGAAAUGUAUAGUAUUAGCAGCCCUGUUCCUGUGUGCCCUGUCCUGGUGAAUUGAUGAUCGACAUUUUUUUUAAUCAGUGUUGACUGUAUAAGGUAUGUUUGUCUGCUGGUAAAUUUAAGAUAACUUUUUCCUGGGCUAGAAUUCUAAGUAUUUAUGCCCAGUCACUAUCUGAACACAAAUAGGUUUACCAUUUUUAUUAAAUACAGUGUUUUGAUCUAUACAUCAAGACAUAUUAUAUUUCUAUUGUGUAACUGCUUUGUAUUGAAUAUGUUUGUUUGUUGCUGUUUUUUCUUAAUAUGAAACAAAAGUAUGCAUUAUGGCUAAAGGCAUUAGUCAGUCAUUAGGAAAUGCACUAAAAUCCGUUCUGUCACUUUCCACGCAGUAAAAGUUGGUUGAUAAUGAAAUGUUGAUUGAAGUUGAAAGGGAAUUUAUAUAGUUUGCUAGUAUGCUAUGUUAAAGUAGACUGUCCUUUUAAUUUGUCUACAUAUAUUGUUUAUUAAAUGUUUUCUGACAUGGGUUUCACCAGAGGCUUGCUUUUACUUUCAUUUACAGAAGUUAAAGUAACAAUCGAACUCUGAUUCGAACUAGCUUAUAACUAUAUAUGAAAAGGCAACAUAUCAUACCUUGGACAUCGCACCUGGAGACAACUGUUGACGCUGCAAAUAAAUAGCAAAUUAAUUCACGUUCUCGCCGUGGCAAUCAAGUUUUCUGUAGGUAGACACGAAUGUCCACUUUACUGCAUGAGGUCGCCACUAGUUACCACAGCUACAAAGUCAUAAACGCUGUUUAUUUCUAACUUUAACCCUAAUCUUAACCCUGCUGCUAACCUUAUACCUAACCCUAACAUUAAAUUAAGACCAUAAAGCGAUUUAUUCCCCACGUAAAUUUGUGUUUGCUUGUUGCCGUUUUUUCUUAAUAUAAAAUAAAAGUAUGCAUUAUGGCUAAAGACCAUGCCCUAUUCCGUCAUUAGGCAAGGCGCUACAACCAGUUCUGUCACUUUCCACGGAGUAAAAGUUGGUUGAUAAUGAAACGUUGAUUGAAGUUGAAAGUGUCACGCCCUGACCAUAGUUUGCUGUGUAUGUAUCUAUGUUUUGUUUGGUCAGUGUGUGAUCUGAGUGGGCAUUCUAUGUUGUUUGUCUAGUUUGUCUAUUUCUAUGUGUUUGGCCUGAUAUGGUCCUCAAUCAGAGGCAGGUGUUUGUCGUUGUCUCUGAUUGGGAGCCAUAUUUAGGUAGCCUGUUUUGUAUUGUGGUUUGUGGGUGAUUGUUCCUGUUUGUGUGUUCCUGUGUUGAGUGUUCCUGUGUUGAGUGUUCACUAUUUCUGGAUUGUCGUUCGUUCGUUCGUUCGUUCGUUCGUUUCACGUAUUCCUACUAAAAUGGAUACUCACCACGCUGCAUCUUGGUCCGACAUUUCUUACUCCUCAGACGAGGAGGACGAAGACUACCAUUACAGAAAGGGAAUUUAUAAAGUAUGCUAUCGCGGCCAUAAACUAUAGUAUGCUAUGUUCAAGUAGACUGUCCUUUUAAUUUGUCUACAUAUAUUGUUUAUUAAAUGUUUUCUGACAUGGGUUUCACCAGAGGCUUGCUUUUACUUUCAUUUACAGAAGUAACAAUCGAACUCUGAUUCAAACUAGCUUAUUGUCACGCCCUGACCUUAGAGAUCCUUUUAUUUCUCUAUUUGGUUAGGUCAGGGUGUGACAUGGGUGGGCAGUCUAGUUUUUCCUUUUGUAGGUUGGCCUGGUGUGGUUCCCAAUCAGAGGCAGCUGUCAUGGAAGCAGGUGGAGGCAGCGAAGGAGCAACAACAACGACACCGGGGUUUGCGGCCACAACGAAAGCCUGGGAGGCAACCUCCAUUUUUGGGGGGAGGCACACGGGGUGGUUGGCGGAGCCGUGUGGAGUUGGUCACCGUUCAGGUGCCAUGUUUUCCGGUUCUACGCACUGUGUCUCCAGUGCGCCUCCACAGCCGUCUAUCGUUGUCUCUGAUUGGGGAUUUUAUUUAGGCAGCCUUUUCCCACCUGUUGUUUGUGGGAUCUUGUUUUUGUAUAGUUGCUUUGAGCACUGCAAUACUGCACGCUUGUUAUAUUCUUUGUUGUUUUGGUUGUAAGUUUCACUAUUAAAUAUAAUGUGGAACUCUA